CAGAGAAAUGCUCGUGAUUUUGCAUCGAAUUCAACAACUAUCAAUGACUCGGGCGUCUUGUGCGAGCUCCAAUUCGGAGGUCCAUGUGUUCAAGUGUUUCAUCUGGUGGUGUGAUCCUGUGCAGUUUUGCUCUUUUCAUCAAGAGAAUUAGGGUUAUUUAUUUUUGGAUUGGUUGAGAGGCGAUGGAGCGGCUGGAGAGCAUGAAUGGGAAGAAUUUGAAGAGUAGUGCAGCGGGCGUUAAUGGGGGAGGCGGCGAAGUACAGUAGCGAUGAAUACGAGGCCGAUUUUCUCUGCACAAUGAGGAUGAAGAUUCUUCAGUGAUCUGCGUGGACAACAUAAUGUGAUUGUGGGACUUGUUAGACAUUCCACAAGUGCUCAGUGAAGGAGGGACCAUAAUCGGCUACGCUUGCAAACAGUCACAAUUUCUUAAUCUAUCUUAGCAUCCUAUUCUCCGAUCCAUCACGGCAAACAGUUAUCUUCUCACAGAGUCGCCAUCCAUGAGCAGUUCCAUGCCGAACGAAGCCGCUUUCUUCGACAAAUUUUCAAAAACCAAGACAAAGAAGAGUUUUUGUUACUUGUCAAUGGAUCUGCAAAUCCUGUGAGUUCUUUUUACUUUCAUUCGACCAAGCUUGUGAACUUCACCAAGUGAUUGGUUGGUGUUAACACUGUGAUUCUUCUGGCACAACAAUUCAACGGUUGAAAGAUGGUGGGGAUGUCAAUGUCUCAAAGAUGGUUACAUUUACUACAUUUUCUUCGAUCCGUCUGAUGAACACAAACCUAUUUUGGGUUCUUUAUCCUUAGAUUUUCGUGUUUCUGUGGCUGAGCUCAAGACAUCACUCACAAUGCAUCUGGUGCGGUUGAUGAUGUCUUGAGCAAUGGUGUAAUAUACGGUUGAUGAGUAUCAAACUCGAUGACACGGCCGUUAAAUUCUCUGAAAGGGUGCGGAACUCGAUAUGCUUGAGGGCAGGAAUUUAAUAAGACGGUUAUCUCAAGUAUCACAGACCAAACCCUAAAUUAACUGAGAAGAAAAUAUGCCACUGAAGUACAACUGCUGCAGACAAUGGCAGUGCUACAUAAGAUGCCAGAACUUCAGGAAGAAAGUUCCAUAUAUAAAUAUAUAUAAAAGGGUACUCUCAGUUCUUCAGUUCCAUUGUGUUGCACCUACGCCUACAAACAGAGCUAGAGAAUUUGUAACCUCUCUACAGCUCUUAGUCCUGUAUCUAAUGAAUUCCACAGGUGUAGAUAGUUGCGAAAGAUGACAGCGGGUUUAUCGUUGAAGCUCCUUGGAAGUUCCACUCAAAGCAAGGUAUUGAGGCACUAAGAAUCACUUAACUUUCAUGCUUCCGUCCUUGCAGACAACAAAACGCGAAGCUUUCUAUUGGUAAUGGAGCUACGGAAGUACUCGUCCAAGGCUUCUGUACAUGGCUGCUUGUUGCGAUCGUGACCCCUGGUAUUGUUUUUGCAGUGACAAGAGGAUGACUACCAAAUGGCAAAGAUAGUGGCAAGGAUUGGGGUGGAGGCAAGGGUAACUUUAAGGGGUGAGAGGAGGAUGAAGAGGUGUUGAGAGAUGUGUUUGGAGGUACAGUGUUGAGAGGUAGAGUGUUGAGAGGCUUGGGAAACAAGGUCCUGCCGCGCUCCUUCGCGCAAGCGGACACCCAGUCGAUCUUCUCUUGGCGAGAGAGCUGUGGAGAAAUCUCCGGGAGGAAGCUAGAAUAAUCAUUCUUGAAAUUGAAAGCUCCUUUUUUGCCGUAAUAAUAUGCUGCCACAUCACGAACUAGCGCUGCUUCUUCA